CCUUGUCCACCAUCUCCCACACGAACAGUAUCAGGCUCCCCACGCACAUGUCGAUCGCGAAGUACGACCCGAUGUAGAACGGUAUCGCCAUCGCCAUCGGCAGUGGUAUGAACCGCGCCACCUUCUGCGGCACCAGGUCUCGUAUCAGGUUGAUGACGAUCGCGGCCGCGAAGAACACAAAGCAGAGUGUAAGGCAGUGCUUCGGGAGCGAGCCGAAGCCAUCGACGCCGAGUAUGGCCAUAUUGCGGAAGACAAUGGCGUACGGCGCAGGGUACUCGCUGCCACUGAGCCCGAUGUCCUUGAAGGCCUUGAAGAAGAGCCAGAACACGCAAGGUGCGAUGACGCAGCCCAUGGCGGUGCCGAUCACCUGGCUGACGAACAUGGAGCGCGGCGAUGCGAGGGUCAUGUAGCCGGUCUUGAAGUCCUGCAUGAGAUCGGAUGCUGUGGAGACAAUGCUCAUCAUGACGCCGCAGGCCGAGAGGCCCACGAGCACGCCCCCGUGUGAUGCGCCCGCCCACAUGCCGAUGGUGAAGAUGGCGAGCUUGCCGUACGCCGACACGAGGGACCAGUCGGUGAGGCCGCAGCCGUAGGCGUUGCAGAAGGCAAGGACGGGGGCGACAAUGUAGGCGACGAGGAUGUAGUACCACUUGAGCUGGGGGAAGAUGUGCGGGAGCGUCACGAUCGAGACGACGGCAAUGAGGACGUAACCGCCGUAUGCGACCGGCUGUGGGAUCUGGUCCUUGAGGAACAGCUCGGUGCGGCGCUCGUCGUCGAACGACAAAGGCCUAUCAGCGGUGAUCAGGGCCUCAUCGUCAGAGACCGGGAGCAUGCUUGUGCGGUCCUUCCGCACGGCGGCGAUGAGAGAGGUGACGGUGUACUUCACAAAGUUGUAGAGGCCAUCGCCCAGUAUCAAGGCAAUUGAUAUGAACACCUGAAAUUUUUUAAAGAAAAUUUAGUACUCUAUUUUCGCGCCAUAUUUUGUUAAAUAACAACCAUAAAAUCACUAAAAGUUUGACGAAAAUAAUUUGAGUAACAACAUAUACGUAGAUAUCAUGUUUUAAAAUUUUUUUAAAAAAAUCAAAAUUGCUACUUAAUAGUUGUACUAAAAGAAGCUAUUAAGAAAAGAUGGUGAAUAAUAAAUUUGGCAAACAUACAUCCACAAAUGUUCUCAUAUUAUUGAACUCCAGCAUAUAGCUAAUGAAAAUGUACAAUGAUUUCUUGUAAUUUUCUUGUUAAUAUUCAUAUAGAACAACUAAAAGAUAAUACCACGAAUUAUCAUACUAUUUUUACUUACCUAUACGGAAUGACAUGCCACGAUAUAGAUAAGUGAUAUAUACUGUUUGUGGCUUUGCGCUAGUCAAUGAAAAAUAUUUUGCCCACAUACGAACAUCAAUAACUUUUUUACAUACACUAAUGUGGUGAUUUCUUGUUAGCUCUUUUUGAUUAUAUAAUUAUGCUCUAUACAUGAAUUAAUUUACUGUUUCUUGUGAAUUGUAAUAAUCAUUUUAUUAUAAUACUCCGUGUGAAAACAAAAUGAUGUAGAACAUGUAAGCGGGGGUAGCAUUACUCGAAAAAAGAUCAGCAGUUCGUGAAUUAUUCGUGAAGUUUUCUUUUGACUAUUAUGAUAAAAUUUGUUUAAAACAAGGAUGGGUGAUUAAUCAAUUUUGUUACCUUGUAACCUUGUAAUCCAUGGAGACUUGUGGGGGAGAGAUCAGCUGAGAACCAUUCACCCUUUUUGUUGUUAAUGAGAGGCCACAUUAUUCCCCAAGAGAUGAUGCCUCCUAAGAGAAGGGAUACGUUUACAAUGUAGGGGCAUAUCAUUCCCACUCCAACGUAGAUAGUAGAGAAAUCGAAAUAGAAUCUACAAAAAAAAAGGAAAAAAAUAGGCAUCAGAUUUAGUACAGAGAAAUAAUAUGUGAAAUCAUGGUUGGAGCUUCAUAUAUAUAUAUAUAUAUAUAUAAAAAACUUAUUUACACAUGAACAAAAUGCUUCCUAAAAGGAUGUGUUUGAGUAGAGUAGUGCAAGGUAAGGUUCUCACUUGUUUGCAUAAGCUUUGAGCCCCAAAGUAGGGAAUGCUUGGAAUCCACAGCUAUCUGUGGCAGUGUAGAACCACUGGAAAAACCCCCAUGCAAAGCUUAUUAAGAAGAAUUUGGCCAGUGUAGUCACUUGCUUCCUGAAUUAGAAUCAUACAUGUUAAUAUAUAUUUUUGGACCCGUUUCCUACUAGAUCGGUCUUUUAGGUAGCAUGAUAUUGCGGCCAGUUCUAAAUGCCUUCUUUCUGUGAGGCUGUGGGUUGUCUACUAGAUCAAUCUUGUAGGUAACAAAACACAAUUAUACAAAAUCCUAUACAUAAAUAGUGAGAAAAGAGGUAAAUUACUGAGAAUGUUAGUAAUUUACAUAGCUAAUUUGGCGCCUUGGGGAGUGUGGAAACCGUUGAUCAGGUGAGCAGUUGCAGUGCCACUCGGGUAGAUCAGCUUGUAGUCGAUGAUCAUAAUCUGAAACAAAUCAAGUUCUUUAUUAGUCCAUGAUCUUCACGACUUGCGAAUUCAAAGAGAAAAAAAAACAAAUUCACUGCUUUUUUGGUCGAGCUCGAGCUUUUGCAAAAGUGCUUUUCUCUGCAGCGUUGUUCACUGAUAGCUUUCUCAUACCCUAACACCUUCUCGUUAUAUCUUCUAUUGUUGGAUUCUUGAAGCUCAUUUUAAGCUCCAAUUCUUUCUUUUUUUUUUUCCCCUAAUUGCUACUUAUCGGAGUAAAAAGCUAUUCGAUAAGCCAAGACAUGCAAUAUGGUACUGUAUAAGCUUGGUGGGAACGUAAUUUACCUUUCUUAGGGGCACGAGGACGAAGAGACCGAGGAAGCUGACAACAAAAAGGAACCCGAUCAUCCACCCCAGCUGUGGGUCCUUCACAUUCUGCGGAUCAUUCGCUUCUGUUGUUUGGCUCGCAAUCCUCUCACUCAUUCCUAAUAGGUAGUUACCGAAUCCUCCUGUUUUAAAUGGAAUUAGUCUAUACUAGUAAGCACAACAAGACUAUUUCUCUAUGUGCAAACAAAGAAGGGUUUAUGAGAAAGAUGAACUUAGUUUGAUUGAACAAUUAUUACUUGAUUUAUUCGAUUGCUUUAUCAAUUUGGGUAUAUAUUCAGGUGAAACUUUAGGUGGUCCAAAUUUGUGGAUUACAAUAUAAUUCGUAUGGUUAGUAAGCAAUUAACCCACUACAAAAUGCGACACUUAGUUGGGUAUUACUAUUACUCAAACAGAAUAAAAAAUCAAUGUGACACAAUGAGACCGUCGAAAUCGGUCGUCCGUUAUAUACCGUGCCCAAAACUUAAAACAGUCACCCAUCGAGAUGUGGAUCAUAUUGACCUGGCACACUAUAUGAGUUCAAUCAUUUAAAUCGACUUACCAUCAAUUGAAAGUGAAACAUACCAAGCGCACCGAAAUAUCAAAUUUCCUUGGGUGAGAGUGAAAUAAUUCAAAUGGAACGCGUCCAAAUGGAUUGAUGGAUUAAUCAUACUGGUCCUUAUUAAUUGGCCACCACUCGUUGCCUUUGUGUGACUCUUCUCCUAAAACUAACCAACUAGACAAAAGUUUCUAUAUCUAAUAUUUGACUAAUAUGUAUAAAUACAAAUAUUUGAGAUGUACCUGUUUACUAUUCUAAACUCGUAAGGUACUUGAACCUGGACCCCACAAUAUAUAAUUGGUUACUUAAAAUUAGUUACCAACAGUUUUUGGCAUUAAACAAGUACCAAACAUUAUAUAUGUUGUAGCAAAAAUUAAGCAAAAAAAAUCUGAAAACCAGUAUAAAAGUGGCCUCCUGUAAAGAUUGGAGUAAAACAGGAACAAAGUAAGAAAAAAAAGGUGGUGUAACACUAGUCAAAACCUUAAGUAGAUGAAGGAUCUAUUUGAGACAAGGACAUUGUUUAAAUUUUUUACGUAGAAAAAUAAUUAACGCAGCGGUAAGCUUNAGCUAGCACCCCGGUGAGGACAUCGAUCAAAUCAAGAACCUCGUGUGGAUACCUAUAGAGGCCGGACGCGUGUGCGGCUUCAAGAGAACCCGAUUCCACGAUCAUCAAAUUGAGGCAAGGAUUUAUCCGCGAAAAAGGUAAAGAUUCGAUCUUACUUUUCUCCUUUUAUCUUAAAGAACAUGAGGGAUCCUAAUUGCGUGGCUUUGAGAUUAGAUCUCGAGAGUUUUUCAAAAUCAAAUCUGUUUGAUUUCUUUUUCCGCUGCGUUUUACCGUACGCAAUUUUCUAACACCACCAUCUCCUCCUCCCCCUCCCCUUCCCGUCGAUCCGCGCCAUAGCUCGCCAUCGUAGCGUAGAGAGAGAGAGAGAGCGAGAGAGAUGUAGAGGGGGAGAGAGAAAUGGUGGGGGAUGAGCUCUCUCUCUCUCUCUCUCUCUCUCUCUGGGUAUUGGGAGAAAAGAGGGGAUUGGAUAUUUAUGAAGUGAAUGAAUAUUCGUGCGUACUAGGUUGUAAAGGAUUUGAGGUGGGAGGAGGAAAGAUGGGGACCACUGGUGUCAGUGCCAGAAUAUCAGUUAAAAGUGUAAGAACUGAGUGCUAUAUAUUGCAAAAUGCUAUAUCACGGAUCCGACUGGAGCCAUCUCUUAAAGCCACACGAGUCACCUCUAGAAUCUGACAUUAUCGGAUAAUUCUGACGAAUAAUUUUGACUUAUAUGUCUGUAAUUGAAUUUGAACCUGAAUAGCACGUCAGAAUCUAAAUAGAAGAAACGUCUCAUACUCUUACAUCAGAUGGAAAAAAAUCCUGAAUGAAAAUGUAAGCGACUGCGCGCUCUGCUAAUAAUAACUGAACUUAAGUAUUUUGAGCUAGUGAUUUGGAUCUAAUGAGUUAGCGGGGUGGGACACGGGUAGAAGAGGACUGGGGAACUUUGAUGCUAGCUAGUCCAAGUACUACCUUUUUUUUCUUUCUAGUUCAGAAGCUUCUUAACUAGUCAGUUUUUAACCGUUGCCACAACUGAGUUGCUGAGUCCUCGUAUGCGCCUCUGCUGUUUGUAGCCACUACAUGGCUAAGUUCACUCUUCUCACUGUUGGAUUUCCUUAUGCUGCAGAAUUUUAAACGCAGAGUUUCUCAGAUUUGUCUCUUUUUCGCGGCUUUAGUCUGCGUGCAAUGGCUCAUGAUCUAAUUUGUGGAGUUUGAAGGCAGGUUUCGUUUGUAACUGCACCAUUACUUACUAGUAAGUUAACAUAUAUGAAUAUCCUAUUUAUCUUCCCUUAGCUUGUGUUAGAAAUAACCGUAACCUGGAGACAAAGGGAACACAUGAUGCCGCCAGUAACUUAAUGUGAUUUUAAUUUUGGUUGUGAUGUUGUCGUCGUUCUCGUUCUUUAUGAAUGUGAUUUGAUCUCUCAAGACCAAAGUGGGCAUCUUUUGGAUGUUCUUUCCGUCUUGCUAUUUACACUUAGCUACUGUAUGAACACAUGAAUAUCUUAUUCGGUAUAUUCAUUGAAUUUAUUCAAGCAGCAUAUAGUAUGUGGUAAAUGAUGAAUGUGAUCAAAAUAUUUAGAAUAAAUACUAUAUUCGGCUUUUAAGUUAUUUUUUCGAAAUAAAAUUAAUUACCUCACAUGUAAAAUAUGCUAUUCAAUCAAAUUUGGACACCUCACAUUCUCACUUCCUGAAACAUCAAACAUGAACUUUUACUCCUGAAAAUUUAAAAGAUUACAAUUUACCAAUGGUAGCUUACAGUUCGUAAUGACUUUUCUUUACCUACAAAUUUCUACAAUUCAUGCAUUGAUCCUGCCGCAAAGCGAAGCGAACAAUAAUUACAAGCCUGCUAAACUGCAAAUUCUAAAACAUGUUGAGUGUUUUAUGAUAAAGUGGCAAUGUAAGUGUCGACUUUGUCGUUUAUCUGGCGGGACAAGAACUUCAUGCAGAUCGGCGGCUGCACCUUCGCGAGCGACAGCACCGACUGCGGCAGCGUCCACAGCCCAUCGCCGCAGAUCAGUCCUGACGCCACCGCCGGCCCGAACGCAUCCGCCUUCGCCUUGUCCACCAUCUCCCACACGAAUAGUAUCAGGCUCCCCACGCACAUGUCGAUUGCAAAGUACGACCCGAUGUAGAACGGUAUCGCCAUCGCCAUCGGCAGCGGUAUGAACCGCGCCACCUUCUGCGGCACCAGGUCUCGUAUCAGGUUGAUGACGAUCGCGGCAGCGAAGAACACAAAGCAGAGCGUGAGGCAGUGCUUCGGGAGCGAACCGAAGCCGUCGACGCCGAGUAUGGCCAUGUUGCGGUAGACAAUGGCGUACGGCGCGGGGUACUCGCUGC
rnacentral:lncRNA from 1 species